AGAACGAACGCUGGCGGCAGGCUUAACACAUGCAAGUCGAACGCCCCGCAAGGGGAGUGGCAGACGGGUGAGUAACGCGUGGGAAUCUACCUAGUUCUACGGAACAACAGUUGGAAACGACUGCUAAUACCGUAUACGCCCUAAGGGGGAAAGAUUUAUCGGAAUUAGAUGAGCCCGCGUAAGAUUAGCUAGUUGGUGGGGUAAUGGCCUACCAAGGCGACGAUCUUUAGCUGGUCUGAGAGGAUGAUCAGCCACACUGGGACUGAGACACGGCCCCAGACUCCUACGGGAGGCAGCAGUGGGGAAUAUUGGACAAUGGCGCAAGCCUGAUCCAGCCAUGCCGCGUGAGUGAUGAAGGCCUUAGGGUUGUAAAGCUCUUUCAGUGGGGAAGAUAAUGACGGUACCACAGAAGAAGCCCCGGCUAACUUCGUGCCAGCAGCCGC
rnacentral:rRNA from 1 species